UACGUAGGGGGCUAGCGUUGUCCGGAAUCAUUGGGCGUAAAGCGCGUGUAGGCGGCCCGGUAAGUCCGCUGUGAAAGUCGGGGGCUCAACCCUCGGAUGCCGGUGGAUACUGUCGGGCUCGAGUACGGAAGAGGCGAGUGGAAUUCCUGGUGUAACGGUGAAAUGCGCAGAUAUCAGGAGGAACACCAAUUGCGAAGGCAGCUCGCUGGGACGUUACUGACGCUGAGACGCGAAAGCGUGGGGAGCAAACAGG
rnacentral:rRNA from 1 species